rnacentral:tRNA from 1 species
GUUGUUUGGCUAAGUGGUUAAGGCGUGCGCCUACUAUCCCCACAACGAGAGUUCAAAUCUCUCAGGCUACA